CAACCUCAACUCAUAUGGGACUACCCCCUGAAUUUAAGCAUAUUAAUUAGGGGAGGAAAAGAAACUAACAAGGAUUUUCUUAGUAGCGGCGAGCGAAAAGAAAUCAGUUCAGCACUAAGUCACUUUGUCUAUAUGGCAAAUGUGAGAUGCAGUGUACGGAACAUCAACAUUCUAGUAUGAGAAGUUAACGAUUUAAGUCCUUCUUAAAUGAGGCCAUUUACCCAUAGAGGGUGCCAGGCCCGUAUAACGUUAAUGAUUACUAGAUGGUGUUUCCAAAGAGUCGUGUUGCUUGAUAGUGCAGCACUAAGUGGGUGGUAAACUCCAUCUAAAACUAAAUAUAACCAUGAGACCGAUAGUAAACAAGUACCGUGAGGGAAAGUUGAAAAGAACUCUGAAUAGAGAGUUAAAUAGUACGUGAAACUGCUUAGAGGUUAAGCCCGAUGAACCUGAAUAUCCGUUAUGGAAAAUUCAUCAUUAGAAUUGUAAUAUUUUAAACAAUAUUAUAAUAAUAGUGUGCAUUUUUUCCAUAUAAGGACAUUGUAAUCUAUUAGCAUAAAUAUUUAUCAUAAAAUUAUGUCUGAUUGCUUAUUUGAAUUAUAUGCUUGGCAUUUUAACAUAAAAUAAAAGAUAUAAAUUUGAUAAAGUGCUGAUAGAUUUAUAUGAUUACAGUGCGUUAAUUUUUCGGAAUUAUAUAAUGGCAUAAUUAUCAUUGAUAUUUGUGUUUAUUAUAUGCAUUUGUAUGAUUAACAAUGCGAAAGAUUCAGGAUACCUUCGGGACCCGUCUUGAACCACGGACCAAGGAGUCUAACAUAUCUGCAAGUUAUUGGGAUAUAAACUUAAUAGGGUAAUUAACUUGACUAUUAAGGGGCUUAGUUUUUUAACUAUUGAUAGUUAAUUAACGCAAUCCCGGGCCGCUGUAUAUCGUUAUGUAUAAUAAUCUUGAUAUUAUUUAUGCCUCUACCUGGAACGUACCUUGAGCAUAUAUGCUGUGACCCGAAAGAGGGUGAACUAUACUUGAUCAGGUUGAAGUCAGGGGAAACCCUGAUGGAAGACCGAAACAGUUUUGACGUGCAAAUCGAUUGUCAGAAUUGAGUAUAGGGGCGAAAGACCAAUCGACCCACAUAGUAGCUGGUUCCUUCUGAAGUUUCCCUCAGGAUAGCUGGUGCAUUUAAC
rnacentral:ncRNA from 1 species